GGAUGAUUGCAAACCUAAUAAAACAUAACUUUUUUUUUUUUUUAUUUAAUUUAGGACAAUUGCCUUACAUGAUAUAGGAUUCUCAUGUUGUUUUUCAUGGUUGUGUUUUUUUAUUGUUUAUAUGUUGCAGUACAAUAAACCCUGAGGCUCAGAGCUGUUAGCCUGCCAAUGUUAGUGCUGAACUGCACCACUGAGUAAUACAAGAAAUCAUAACAAGCAUUUAGCACAGUUUGAGCAUGUUUCUUUUUUUUUUUUUUUUAACUCUUUUUAUGUUUUGUUUUCUGUGGAAUCGAUUCAUGUAAUCUAUGUACCACUUCUCUUGACAAAGAUCGGGUUCAGUGAAAUGAUACAUCAUAUUUACUCUUUCUCAACAUGUUUGCCAAUGCACUUCCUGUUCCAUCUGUGCUGGAGCGGAAACUUCUCUUUUCUUUUCUAAUUCAGUUUCCUAUUUAGAGAUGAAGUUAUUACUUAUAGUGCGACAUCAAAUGUAAGGACUGUACCAAACAAUACAUGGAGGUCAUUGCUUGUCCACAGUGAUCUAAAUGUUAGAGAAGGAUGUUAGUGAAGCUAACCACAGUCUACUUUUUCUGCUUCUAUUUUGGUGAGCAAUAGCUUGGUUGUAUCCACGUCCUGCAUACUUGGCUCUGCCUUAACAUCAUAGUGGAGAGUCUGUUGUCCUCCCAGGUGAUGGAGCUGAAGUUGUGGUUUUCCUUUUUGCUCUUAAAUGGUGAGUCUUAAAUUAAAAUGGUGUUACAUAAAAUACUUCAUCUUACACUUGUUUUCAGUGAUCCAUGAUAUCCAAUCCUAAUCUGCUAGCCAAUGGACGGCAAAUAUGCCAACAAAUAUUCAGAAAAAUAUAAAUACUGGUGGGUUUACUUCAGAAAUGCUUCACUGUUGGUUUAAGGCUUCUGUCAAUAUGAUUUAUUGUGUCUGAUUAACAUAAAUAUCAUUUCAAUGUCACUUUAUGUGUGUGUUUACGGUUUUUAAUUUGUAGGAUUGUGUAAACACAGGAGGGCAAGAUGGGGUAAGAUGACCCCCUUAAGAACAUAGUACACAUACGCUUGAUGUUAGAAUGUAAUAUGAUUGUGUAUAAACCAACACAGUUUUGGGGGGAGUGGUAAUAUGUAAUAAAUGCAGUAAUU